rnacentral:misc_RNA from 1 species
UGGUCGAGAAGAAAUUGAGGACAAAGAUAUAGUUGAAUGUCUAGAAAGAGAUGUCAACUUUUGGACGGACUUCUCUAAGGUUCACUACCACCCUCAAAGUUUAUAUCAAUUCAAUGGAUCAUGGGUGGAUGCUCGGGAGUUUGACAGUUAUGGAAUUGGAAAAGAAUCUUUCUCUUGGAGUUUGCAAGGUGAAGAAAUUGAUGAAAGGCUUCGUUUUUUUGUGGAGG